CUGCACGUCUCACCAUCUUAAAUCACAUUUUAUGUUACACUUGCCAGCAGAAGGACAUACGGGACCAGUGGAGAUGUUGAGGGGUUAUAAGAGAAUAUUUAGUGUGACAGCAGAAAUAAAGGUCAUUAUAAAGGUUUACAUCAGAGUCCAGCAACCAUACCGAACAGACUCUAAAGUUCAGCCUAAACCCUGUGGAAAAUAAAACAGCGACGAUGUCAAGUGACAGGAAAUGUAAGGCUUCACGCUGUUCCUCAGACAGCAGGUGGUCUGUCAUGUGAUCUCGAGCGUGGCUCUCUGUCUGUCAUUCACAGCAAUCACUGAAAGAUACCACUGGCAAACACUGCAGAAGGACGAUUUCUCAGACUGUCCAUCAUCACGGUCUGUUCAAACAUGUCUCAUGUCAGUGAUGCCAGAAGUGUCAUGCUUGUUCAAACCAAGCACAUGUGAGCGUGCAUUUUAAAGGAAUAGUUCACCCAAAAUGAAAAUUUGUACUCACCCUCAGGCCGUUCAGAUUUAUUCAGCCUUAGGCCAUGCGAGAUGAAGAUGAGUUUGUCAUAACAGAUUUGUGGAAAUUUAACAUUACAUCACUUGCUCACCAAUGGAUCCAGUGAAUGGGUGCCAUCAGAAUGAGAGUCCAAACAGCUGAUAAAAACAUCACAAUAAUGUAACUAAUCAUGAUCUGCGUGUUAAGACUUUAUUUUUUUUAUUUUUUUUACUUCAAACCCUUGCUUCCAGCUGAAAAUAUGUGUUCUGUGUUUAUAAUGUUGUUUUAUCUGGUGAAAAUGUUUUGUCUGAAUCAGGAGAGAAAUAUGCACAAGAACAUGCAAAAACAGUUCUAAAUUGGCAAACUUUUUCUUUAAGAAACUUUUUCACUGGCAGAAGCCCUAUUAUGGAUUUUGGACUGGUAUUUUGGCCAGA